ACUCUGAUGCAGCACGCCGCGUGAGGGAAGACGGUUUUCGGAUUGUAAACCUUUGUCCUUGGUGACGAUAAUGACGGUAGCCGAGGAGGAAGCUCCGGCUAACUACGUGCCAGCAGCCGCGGUAAUA
rnacentral:rRNA from 1 species